GAUGAACGCUGGCGGCGUGCCUAAUACAUGCAAGUCGAGCGAACGGACGAGAAGCUUGCUUCUCUGAUGUUAGCGGCGGACGGGUGAGUAACACGUGGAUAACCUACCUAUAAGACUGGGAUAACUUCGGGAAACCGUAGCUAAUACCGGAUAAUAUUUUGAACCGCAUGGUUCAAAAGUGAAAGACGGUCUUGCUGUCACUUAUAGAUGGAUCCGCGCUGCAUUAGCUAGUUGGUAAGGUAACGGCUUACCAAGGCAACGAUGCAUAGCCGACCUGAGAGGGGGACGGGCCCACCUGGACCUGAGCCACGGUCCAGACUCCUACGGGAGGCAGCAGUAGGAAAUCUUCCCAAAUGGCCGAAAGCCUGCCGGAGCAACGCCGCGUGAGUGAUGAAGGUCUUCGGAUCGUAAACCCUUGUUAUUGGGAAGAACAUAUGUGUAAGUAACUGUGCACAUCUUGACGGUACCUAAUCAGAAAGCCACGGCUAACUACGUG
rnacentral:rRNA from 1 species